GGGAUAUUAAGCAUUUAUUAUUUUCUAGUGUUCAACUUCUACCCGAAUACCAAAAUCUGACAUGAAAAUUAAGCUCAACUUUUCUCCUAGACUAACAUUACUGUGUUAUGAAUAUAAGAUCCAAGGUCUCAGUUAAAAACAGUCACAUAAUUUCCACCAAUGCCCCUUAAAGCAGGAGAGCUGACCACUCACCAAGGAACACUCACAGGCAACAUAAAAACACGCAUUUAAUUCUAGAAUUUUGUCUGUGAAGUGGGGGCAAUGUUGUGACACUAUUA
rnacentral:misc_RNA from 1 species